GCCGGGCAUGGUGGUGCACGCCUGUAAUCCCAGCUACUCAGGAGGCUGAUGCAGGAGAAUCGCUUGCACCCGGGAGGAGGAGGUUGCAGUGAGACGAGAUCGUGCCACUGCACUCUAGCCUGGGUGACAAAGCGAUACUCUGUCUCAC
rnacentral:SRP_RNA from 1 species